rnacentral:rRNA from 1 species
AUCAAAAAUUAACUCCUCCGACAAACUAAAACAUUCACCUUUAAGCCCUAGUAUAGGCGAUAGAAGAGGCCAUAAAUUGGCGCCAUAGAGAUCUGUACCGCAAGGGAAAGAUGAAAUAACAAUGAAAACCUAAGCCACAAACAGCAAAGAUUAGUCCUUGUACCUCUUGCAUCAUGAUUUAGCAAGAAUAACCAAGCAAAACGAAUUUAAGCUUGCCCCCCCGAAACCCAAGCGAGCUACUUGCAAGCAGCUAGCCCGAGCGAACCCGUCUCUGUCGCAAAAGAGUGGGACGACUUGCUAGUAGAGGUGAAAAGCCAAUCGAGCUGGGUGAUAGCUGGUUGCCUGUGAAAUGAACCUAAGUUCCCUCUCGACUAUUCUCUAAGGACACCCUAAUCUAACCCCCACGUAACUAGCCCAGGGUAAUUUAAAGGAGGUACAGCUCCUUUAAAAAAGAAUACAAUCUCACCCAGAGGAUAACCCAACUCCACACAAAUCUUGUGGGCUUUAAAGCAGCCAUCAACAAAGAGUGCGUCAAAGCUCAGCACCCAAAGAUCCAAAAACAAUGCGACUCCCUCCUCACUAGCAGGCCAACCUAUGACGAUAGGAGAAUUAAUGCUAGAAUGAGUAACUACGGGCCACCCCUCUCAAACGCAAACUUAUGCUCACACCAAUUAACAGGCAUCUGAUAUAUAAACCACUACAAGAUUUAAUAUCAAGCAACAACUGUUACUGCCGACUCAGGAGCGUCCACUAGAAAGAUUUAAAUCUGUAGAAGGAACUAGGCAAACUCAAGGCCCGACUGUUUACCAAAAACAUAGCCUUCAGCAAACCAAGUAUUGAAGGUGAUGCCUGCCCAGUGACACUCACGUUCAACGGCCGCGGUAUUCUAACCGUGCGAAGGUAGCGCAAUCAAUUGUCUCAUAAAUCGAGACUUGUAUGAAUGGCUAAACGAGGUCUUAACUGUCUCCUACAGACAAUCAGUGAAAUUGAUCCCCCUGUGCAAAAGCACGGAUAAACACACAAGACGAGAAGACCCUGUGGAACUUAAAAAUCUAAGGCCACCCCACUAAUAGCCCCCCGCCUAACCAGGCCCACCCUAUUCUCACGCUGGCCUACAUUUUUCGGUUGGGGCGACCUUGGAGAAGAACAAACCCUCCAAAAAUAAGAUCCCACCUCUUAACCAAGAGCAACCUCUCGACGUACUAAUAGUAACCCGACCCAGUAUAAUUGAUCAAUGGACCAAGCUACCCCAGGGAUAACAGCGCAAUCCCCUUCAAGAGCUCAUAUCGACAGGGGGGUUUACGACCUCGAUGUUGGAUCAGGACACCCUAAUGGUGCAGCCGCUAUUAAGGGUUCGUUUGUUCAACGAUUAACAGUCCUACGUGAUCUGAGUUCAGACCGGAGCAAUCCAGGUCGGUUUCUAUCUAUGACAGGACUCUUCCCAGUACGAAAGGACCGGAAAAAUGGAGCCAAUGCUAUAAGCACGCCCCCUCAGCAAACAAUGCAAUCAACUGAAUUGCCAAACUGACCUAUCACCAUACCCCUAGAAAAGGG